GUGGUCUCUCUAAUAAGUGAAUAACCAUCUCCUCUUUCUCUCUCUCUCUCUCUCUCUCUCUCUCUCAUCAGAUCGCGAAAACCGCGACCCAAAUCUCUCUAGAAAUCCAUCGAUUUCGCCGCUCCCAUCUCCUCGCCCACCUGUGUCGCAUCCUCCUCCUCAUCGAUCUCUCGCUCAUCUGGCGCCCUCCGAUUCGAUCAGCCACCCAUCCGAUCUUGAGGCCGCCUGGCCGAGGCGCCCCGCUGGGUCCAGAUUAGGGCUUGUAUCUCGUCGCGUAUUUAUUGGGGGAUUUUGGGAUCUGUGGAUGGGUGCGACGGGGGCGGAUCUAGGGUUUGGAGGAUCGGGAAGUUUCUAGGGUUUGAGCGAUUACGGGGGAGGUGGCGGAGGAAUUGAGGGUGGGGAAUUGAUGGUUCGCGCCGGAGGAGGGAUCGGAACCACCAAAACCGGGGAAGAUGCAAGGCUAUGCAUGGGCGGGAAGGUGAGGAAAGGAAACGGAGGCGGCACAUGUGGCCAGUCCCCGCGCACGGCACAGCAGCUGCAGCUCUCCCACCGCCAGCGCCACUAGCUCCCCGAUUGACCCCCUCGGCAUCCGAUUCCUUCCAGUCCUCAGCUGAUUCUUUCAUAAAGGAUGGGCGUAAAAUUCGAGUUGGUGAUUGUGCUCUUUUCCAGGCUGUCAAUGCUCCACCUUUCAUUGGAAUAAUUCGUUGGUUUUCAGCAGGCAAAGAGGCUUAUCUUGAGUUAUGUGUAAAUUGGCUUUACAGACCUGCUGACGUAAAGCUUGCCAAAGGGAUAUCACCUGAAGCUGCACCAAACGAGGUCUUCUACUCAUUUCACAAGGACGUGAUUUCAGCUGCCACAUUGCUUCAUCCAUGUAAAGUUGCAUUUUUGCGUAAAGGUGUUGACCUUCCAGCAGGGAUAUCAUCAUUUGUGUGUAGGCGAGUAUAUGAUACUGCAAACAAGUGUUUGUGGUGGCUAACUGAUCAGGAUUAUAUCAAUGAGCGUCAGGAAGAAGUAGAUCAACUUUUAGAUAGAACACGACUAGAGAUGCAUGCAGCAGUGCAGUCAGGCGGGCGUUCACCGAAACCUCUGAAUGGUCCUGCAUCCACACAACAGUUGAAAUCUGGUUCAGAUAGCGUACAAAAUAGUGGCACCUCCAUUCCUCAGUCUAAGGGGAAGAAGAGGGACAGAGGUGAUCAGGGCACGGAGCCUAUUAAACGUGAGCGGUCUGCUAAGACGGAGGAUGGUGAUUUUGCUAACUUUAAGUUUGAUGGCAUGAUAAAAGAUGAAAUUGCGAAAAUAACAGAAAAAGGUGGGCUUGUAAACACUGAAGGGGUGGAGAAACUGGUGAAUCUCAUGCAACUUGAUAGAAAUGAGAGAAAAAUAGACCUGGCCGGUAGGAUAAUGCUUGCAGAUGUGAUUGCGGCCACUGAUAAAUAUGAGUGCCUUGGUAGAUUUGUGCAGCUCAGGGGUGUUCCUGUUCUGGAUGAUUGGCUUCAGGAGGCACACAAAGGUAAAACUGGCGAUGGCAACAGUCCCAAGGAAAGUGAUAAAGCCACUGAGGAACUGCUGCUUGCUCUGCUUCGUGCUCUGGAGAAGUUGCCUGUAAAUCUUCAUGCUUUACGGACUUGCAACAUUGGUAAGUCGGUUAAUCACUUACGCAGUCAUAAAAACUUGGAGAUCCACAAGAAGGCUAGGAGUCUUGUUGACACUUGGAAGAAACGAGUUGAUGCAGAAAUGACAAAGAACAAUGAUGCGAAAUCUGUAGGGUCAAGCCAGGCUGUAGCAUGGCCUGGUAAGACAGGUUUUCCUGAAGUUUCUCAUGCUGGAAGCAGACGUCCUGGAUUAAAUGAGGUAACUGUGAAAAGCCCCGGUCAGCCUUCUGCUUGUAAAACUCCACCUGGUAAACUUGGUAAUUCAGAUCCUGUGGCCAAGCCAAGUCCGUUUACAUCAGGAUCUUUAAAACAAUCACCUUUGCCUGCUUUGGGGGCUAUUGGCUUGAAGGAUCCACUUGGCAAAACAAGUGGUGGCACUGGGACUCAGGAGUUGCCACCAGCAGUGGUGAAAGAAGAAAAGAGCAGCAGUUCGAGUCAGUCUCAGAACAAUAGCCAGUCUUGUUCUAGUGAUCAUAAAAAAAUGGGUUCUUCAUGGAAAGAGGAUGCAAGGAGUUCAACUGCUGGCUCAAUGAAUGCUAGCAAGAUCUCUGGUACUUCUUCUCGCCACCGAAGGUCUGGCAAUGGGCUUCUGGGAACAAGUAAUUCUGGAAUUCAGAAGGAACCUAAUUUGGGUAAGUCUGGUUCUCUUAACAGGACUACAACACUGGAUAAAGCAUCACAAUCUGGAUUGACAUGUGAAAAGUCACUUGAUGUACCUGUUGCAGAUCAUGGAAAUAGCCACAGGUUGAUUGUUAGGCUUCCUAACCCUGGUCGCAGUCCUGCCCGAAGUGCAAGUGGAGGUUCAUUUGAGGACCCUUCAGUGACAGGGAGCAGAGCAUCGUCACCUGGUGUUCCUGAUAAACAUGAGCAUAAUGAUCGUAAAAUGAAACUGAGGAGCGAUGCUUGUCGGUCUCAUGUUGCCACCAAUGCAAAUAUAGAGACAUGGGAGAGCAAUGAUGUGAAGGAGGGGGUGGUUGGAUCUGAUGAAGGUGACAGAUCGCCAACAAUUCUUGAUGAAGAACGCAGGAGCGCUGAUGAAACUGGAAAGAUCUCUGAUAUUCCAAGAACUGCCUGUUCAUCCUCUGGGAAUGAAAAAGGGGUUUUUUUGCCUGAAUCCAGGACAAGGAACUCUUUCAGCUCUAUAAAUGCACUGAUUGAAAGCUGUGCAAAAUAUUCUGAAUCUAGUGUUCCUUUAUCGGCUGGGGAUGAUAUAGGAAUGAAUUUACUUGCUAGUGUGGCUGCUGGGGAAAUGUCAAAGUCUGACUUUAUUUCUCCCACUGGCUCACCUGGAACUUCACCUGUGGUUGAGGACCACUGUACUGGUAAUAAUGAGGCCAAGUCAAGACUGUCAUGUGAUGAUGGUGUUGCCCAGAGUCAUGCCCAGUCUGAUGAAACUGCUGAUAUUGACUCGGAGAAACAUGGGAAGAGUGUUGGUUCUGUGUUAGCAAGGGUUGAGUCGCAACAGGCAGGCAUCAACUUUUCAGGUGAUGAAAAAAUCAUCAUGCCAUUGCAGGAUAAGAUAUUGACAGGCGAGCAAGCCAAGCAGUCACCUGUUUCCAGUACAAGUUUUCAUAAAACUUCAGAUUCUUCUAUAAAACCAGAAGGGAAACUCGAGGAAGAGAGAGCUGAUAGAUGUUAUUCUAUGUCUAGUCCAUCAAAUGUGAAGGAGGAGACUGAAGGUGAUGGAGCUUAUCUACACCGGGACAGAUUGAUGACUAGUGGGCAGGUUACUGAUAGUCUCACAGAUUGUAAGACUAAGUUAAUGAGUCAACCAAUGGAUGAGAGUAAGCCCAUUGAUUAUGCUCGUGAAAAGAUUGUAGAGGGCAGUAUGUGCACUUCUGGAGUUGUUUGCAACACCUUGGCGGGUGCUUGUGAGUUUGAAAAGACUGCUUCAGGCAGAAAAUCUGAGAAGCUGGUUGAAGAAUCUCCCUCUUGUCCUCCCAUUGACAAAGAACUGCCUGGUGGUGCCACCUUAACGGACCAGCAGCAACCUUCCGUUGCGGCAAAUCAUGCAGAGGCUUUAGAUAGAAGUGCUGAUGAUGCUGUUGCUCUUUCUGGUGCUGAUGAAGUUCUUUGUCCUGAAAAUGAUGAUGAGUCCAAGACCAAGAAGUCUGAUAACUUGAGGGCUGGUGAUUUGGACCUCAGUAACACUGAAAAGAAAGAAAGUUUGAGUGUUGCCACUUCAAGCAUCAAUGAACGAGUUGCAUCAACCAUAGUCCCACCUAUCUCUGGCAAUGGGGUGGAUGAUAACUUAGAAAUAAAGCAGCCUCUUGAGGUCUGCCUUACUGGAUCUUCUGACAAUCAGCUUCCGUGCAGUAUUCCUCCCCAAGAAACUGAGCGAUGUGCAAAGUCUUCUGGUUCUAAGAUAUCUGGAGCUGAUGCUGAUGGAAAGGAGGAGCUUGUGUCUUCUGCAGAGGCUUCUUCAUUGGCUGUUACAGCUGAUCCAGAUGUUUCGGCUAAGCUCGACUUUGAUUUAAAUGAAGGCAUCCCUGGAGAUGAUGGGAACCAAGGCGAGCAAGCUACCUCAGCUGCACCAAUAUGUUCAUCUGCAGUUCGUAUGCCUAACCUGCCUCCAUUUGCAUCUCCCAAGUUAAGUGCCUUGCCUGCUCCAAUCACAGUGGCUGCUCCCGCAAAGGGACCGUUUGUUCCACCUGAAAAUUUGUUGAAGACAAAGGCUGAGCCUGGGUGGAAAGGUUCAGCUGCCACCAGUGCAUUUCGCCCCGCUGAACCGCGAAAGGUUUUUGAGAUGCCACUUAGUACUUCUGAUGUCCCAACAUCUGAUGCUGCAGGGAAGCAGGUUCGUCCACCUUUGGACAUCGAUCUGAAUAUAGCUGAUGAGAGAGUACUUGAGGACUUGGGUUCUCAGAGCUCUGCUCAGACAACAGGCUCUGAAUCAGGAGCCAUUAGCAAUCAUGAGGCACCCACACGAACUGCUGGGGGACUUGAUCUUGAUUUAAAUAGAGCUGAUGAGGGCACAGAAAAUGGGCAGUUCGUAGCAAGCACCAGUCAGAGGUUAGAAGUGCCACUUUUGCCGGUAAGACCAGCACCUGGAGGAUUCUCUAAUGGGGAGGCCAACGUAUCAAGGGACUUUGAUCUUAAUAAUGGACCAGGACUUGAUGAAGUGGGUUCAGAACCUGCACCGAGGAGCCAGCAUGCCAAGAGCAGCAGCAGUGUGCCCUUCUUACCGCCAGUAGCAGGCCUCAGAAUGAACAAUGCUGAACUAGGCAAUGUAUCGUCUUGGUUUCCUUCGGGUAAUUCCUAUCCAGCUGUUGCUAUACCAUCUUUCUUGCCGGAGAGAGGGGAGCAGCCUUACCCUAUUGUUGCAGCUCCAGGGGCCCAGAGGAUUUUGGGGUCAGUUACGGGUGGUGGCACAUUUGGAAAUGAUAUUUACAGAACCCCAGUGCUGUCAUCAUCUCCAGCCAUGGCCUUUUCCCCUGCUACAGCAUUUCCAUAUGCUGGCUUCCCUUUUGGCUCCAGUUUUCCUCUAGCGUCGACUUCUUUCACAGGUGGAUCAACAACCUAUGUUGAUUCAUCAUCUGGAGGUGCUUCAUGCUUUCCUGCCAUUUCAUCACAGCUUGUUGGACCAGCAGGUGCUGUCUCGUCCCAUUAUCAAAGGUCUUAUGUGAUAAACCUUCCAGAAGGUAGUUCUAGUGGUGGAUCUGAUAACAGUAGAAAGUGGGCCAGACAAGGUCUUGAUCUCAAUGCAGGUCCAGGGAGUGCAGAUAUGGAAGGAAAAGAUGACAGAUUGCCUUCAGCAUCGAGACAGCUCUUGGUUGCCGGUACUCAGGCUUUUGUGGAGGAGCAGGCAAGGAUGUACCAGGUGCCAGGUGGGGGUCUGAAGAGGAAAGAGCCUGAAGGAGGUUGGGAUGCAGAGAGAUCUGGUUACAAGCAACUUUCGUGGCAGUAAGGUCGUCUCAGGGGAAAACAUUUCUUUGAUGACUUGAGGAUCUGGUGAGCCACCAGCUACUCUCUUUUUUUUCUUCCCCCCUUAUGGCCGUGAAAGUGUAAUAGUGUUUAUUGUAUAUGAAUUUUUUUAUUCUGGUGCAUAUGGAUGAGUUAGACCUUAAUUUGCAGGCACAAGCGUUUGUGGACUCUCUUUCCUGUAUUGCUUUCGCACUAAGUUAUACACACACAAUGUCACAUGCGUCCUGGUGUUUGCCUCGAGGAUGAUGUGGAACUCUUUUCAGAGGGAAUCAAACCUUGCUGUAAUUCAUGUAAAUUUGAGAUAUGAUGCUCUUUAAGAAACAAUUUUCAUGGCUUCAGCAGAUGCUUAGCUCCUUUUAGCAUAAAUGGGCGUUUGCUGGUUUACUCAAGGAGGGUAUAUAUGGCUGGCCUUGGAGGAUGGUUGCUCGUUUGUAUAAUCUCUCUCCUGGUGGGUGGUCUUGCAGCUGUACAUCUUCGCCUGCAUUUGCUCCAAAGAAUUGACAUUAUAAUGCUACAGUUGGACAAUUAAAUAUGCCAUCUGGGCACCUCUCCCAGUGGUACAGGACUCAUCUUCCUUGUUUGAAUCACCAAGGCAUGACCUUGUGUCGUUUGUAUGUCUAGUUUUAUCAACCUUGCAAUAAUAUAGCCUCACUUCCAAGUUUGGUCUGUUGAACUUUGCCAUAUCAGAAGAUUUGGCAGCCAAUCAUGUAGGGGUUAUGAGUUGUAGUUAAAGCAUGUUUUAUGUCUUGUUGAACGUUAAUUGCUUGAGCCAUUUCAUUCUUAGGGCAGGAUUCGGAGGUGGAUACAAUCUGAAGGUUCGCUAAAUAUAAUCUCACUUCCAAAUUUCGCCUGUUGAACUUUGUCAUGACAGAAGAUUUUGCAGCCAACCAUGUAGUGGUUUGAGCUGUAGUUAAAACAUGUUUUAUGUAUUAUUGAAUGACAAUGACUAGAGCCAUUUUAUUGUUA